rnacentral:rRNA from 1 species
UAUUGGCUUUAUUGUAUUGUGGAAAUGUAUUACCAACAGAGGUGCAGGUGCCAGCCUAUUGAAAUAAAGCGUCAAUGAGGGUGAGAAUCCUGUUUGUCAUGUGCAGCCCUUUGUGCACGGUGUAUAUUUGCUGAGUCACACUCCUUGGCAUUGGAAUGCAAAGUGGGUGGUAAGUUUCAUGUAAAGGUAAACAUGCAAUUGAGACUGAUAGCACACAAGUACCAUGAGGGAAAUAUGAAAAGGACUUUGAUUGUAUUUGCUGAACACAAAGUAAACAGACUUGAUUUGCUUGGUGGGAGUGUUGCACUUGCUUGACAAGAGCUUUGGGCUGUGGGUGUAAUGAUUCUUUCUUUGCAUGCCAGUUUCUAUUUGUACAUCUGAUUACCUUUGCACAUGAAUGAUAAGUCUCCUGUGGGGGGUGGAUUGCAUGUGCAUGUAAUGAUUUGUGUUUUGAUAAAUGUGUCUGGUGUAUGUGUGUGUUCCUGUGCGAUGCUUCCUUCCUCUUACAAGCCCUGACACACACAUGCUGGCAGCUUCUGCUUGACCCGCUUGAAACACGGACCAGGAGUCUAACAGAUGUGCACA